CUACGUUGCUCUCAUUUAGUAUACGUAUAAUUCACUUCCAUGCGCGCUGUUUUAAUGCAAAGCUUUCAUUAAAAGGCAAUGGCAGAUGUCCCUUCAGAAGAGUUCGUACGUCUUGCUUUUUUAACAGAGCCAUUUUUUAUGGGCUUCGAGAUGAAAUCUUGAGCACUGCUCAUUUUGUUUUUCGUUUGUUUUUAUCACUUCAAGCCCUUCAAAGGAUGGUAAUGGCUGUUAACCCUCGCUUGCUUUCACCAGCAGCGUUGGAGCAUAAUCUCAUAUAAGGGCCACAAGCUGAGCGUAGGAACUCUGAGCGCACCUGAGUGUCAGAACCCAAUAAAAGGGCCACAAGCUGAGUGUAUGAACUCUGAAGGACCAUGGUUGGCAAAGCGCACCUGAGUGUCAGGUUGCUUUACCUUAUGAAGGAAAUUGGCUUAGGUUGCUUUACCUUAUGAAGCAAAUUGUCCCAGGUUGUUUUACGUUAUGAAGCAAAUCGGCCUAGGAUACUUUACCUUAUGAAGCAAAGUGGGCCUAGGUUGCUUUAAUCUCUGAAGCAAAUUGGACCGGGUACCUUUAUCUUUUGGAGAAAAUUGUUCUGGCUAUUGUAUUGGAUUGCAUACAUCUUGGUUUGUUGUUGAAUUAAUUGGUAUUUUAUAGGGUAUGUUUACUUCUGUUCACUUAGACCACUGCAGUGGAUGGCCCUGCUUUUCACGAUGCUUGCAGCUGCAUUCCCCAUCUUCAGUUCCACCAUAGCUGUUACCAUAACUUUGAAGUCCUAGAACGCAAUAAAUCGGCUAGCUACAAGCUGAGCGUAGGAACUCUGAAUGACCAUGGUUGGCAAAGCGCCCAGAUUGUCAGGAAGCUUUUGUUUGGACACUGUCAAAGGGAGCCUAACACCCUUAUCAAUUUAUCAUAUUUUGCAGGUUGGUUUACCUUAUGAAGCAAAUUGGCCUAGGUUGGUUUACCUUAUGAAGCAAAUUGGCCUAGGUUGCUUUACCUUAUGAAGCAAAUUGGCCCAGGUUACUUCAAGUAAUAGGUAACUUACAUCAUGAAGAAAAUUGGUGCAGCUGUUGUAUUGAAUUGCUCACACUGUCAAAGUAACUAACAUACUUACCAUUUUAUCAUAUACUGUGGGAUAGUUUACUUUAUGAAGCAAAGCGGGCUUAGGUGGGUCCUUGUGAAGCAAUUCAGCCUUGGUACCUCGUGAAGAAAAAUUGUAACUGCUAUAUUGAAUUGCUUACAUUGUGGGUCGAGCCUUACACUUUUGUAUUUUGCAGGUUGCUUUAUUUUCUGAACUAAAUUGUUCUGGCUCUUGCAUUGGAUUGCAUACAUCUUAGGUUGGUGUUGAAUUAAUUGGUAUAUUAUAGUGAAUGUUUACUUCUGUCCA